CGUGGGCUUCCUUGCAUAGCGAGCAGAGAUUGAGAGUGCAGCUGAUGCAGUGGUAUGUGGCCUGUAAAGGGGCAUAUCGAUGGAGUAGAGAAGAGCUGUGUGCUAAAGAAAGUCCAUCCAUACGAUGGACGAUGGGCUCCUGCCCGCUAUUAGACAAUGAUGCUGUUAUGUGCACUACCUGAGGAAAGGUCAGAGGGAGAGGGAGAGAAAUAGAGAGAACACCAGACUUUCGAGAUGACAUCCUCGCCCGCCUGCAGACGCAGUGCCUCAAUGCGUCGCACUAGCAGAAAGUUCUGUGGCAGCUGACG